rnacentral:rRNA from 1 species
AAAUUGAAGAGUUUGAUCAUGGCUCAGAUUGAACGCUGGCGGCAGGCCUAACACAUGCAAGUCGAACGGUAACAGGAAGCAGCUUGCUGCUUUGCUGACGAGUGGCGGACGGGUGAGUAAUGUCUGGGAAACUGCCUGAUGGAGGGGGAUAACUACUGGAAACGGUGGCUAAUACCGCAUAACGUCGCAAGACCAAAGAGGGGGACCUUCGGGCCUCUUGCCAUCAGAUGUGGUG